rnacentral:rRNA from 1 species
AUGCCGACGUACAUCCGUGCGACUCGUAAAACCCAUGACUUCCGCAGAUGUGACCUUUGGGGUUGCCACAAGUUCAUGAGAGAAGCUGCCCUUGAGCGAUCAGCCAGUCUAAAGUCUGAUUGUUUCACCAUCCGGUGUGAUAUUGUGGUGUGCAAGGACAACACGCCAGAUGCCAUUGGCUCCGGCACCGGUACCGAGAUGCACCAACAUUUUAGCGAUCUCCUUCGGAAUAAGGUGGGUGCUGAUGUGACAUUCGAGGUCGGCGGCAAGACGUUCGCUGCACACCGGUGUGUGCUCGCUGCCAGGUCUGAAGUGUUCAUGGCGCACCUCUUUGGCACCGCUACGUCCAAUGUCAUACACAUCACAAAUAUGGAAACUAAAGUGUUUAGGGCUUUGCUUUGCUUCAUCUACACAGACUCUUCUCCUGAGAUGGAGGACAUCAUGGAGGAGGAAGUUGCGGAGCCAACACAAGAAGAGGCGGUAGAGGAUGAAAUGCUUCUGCAAUGGCUGCAAGACUUGUUUGUGGCGGCAGACAGAUACAAUCUCCAGCGGCUCAAGUUCAUAUGUGAAAAGCAGUUGUGUGAGCAUGUAGGUGUGAGCUCGGUGGUGUCCACUCUUGCUCUAGCCGAGCAGCACCACCGCCAUGGAUUGAAGGAGGCAUGCUUGAAGUUUAUCCAAGUCCUAUCUCCCUCGUGUUUGCAGACACUAAUGGCUACUGAUGGCGGGCAUAUAGCUACGACCUACCCCUCUGUUUUGUACGAGCUCAUUGCCAUGCUUGCUUCAAACCAGCGGAAAUGA